rnacentral:piRNA from 1 species
UACUUUUUCCUAGGUGCCCAG